CAAAGGAUAGUUAUGCCAUCCACGCGAGACAGAACCAGCUGAAGAAUGCUUAGCACAGAGACCUACAGGAGAUCUCCAAGUUUCUCAAGAGACCGUGAGUAAAAAAUUUGGUUUUUUUACUUUCUCUCUUUCUCUCCAAAGUGUUCCUGGCAGGUUCCUCCUCCUUCCCUCCAUUCACCUCAAGUUUUUACUACAACAGCUGGUUUUCCUCCCCAGCUCUGUAGCCUUUCCUUGCUCUAGCCUUUGAAAGCCCAGCUAGGCAGUAAAUAAUGCUGCAUGGGCGGGGCUAAUGUACCUGCCUCGCUAGGCUUAAAGCCUUUCACUUAACCCUUUACUUUCCUUGCUCUUUUCGGCCAGCUAGGCAGCAUUAAUGAUUGCCAGUCUUUGUGAGUCCCUAUGAGUCUUGCUUAGAUGAUUCUGUGGACCCUGUGCUCAUGUGUCCUUGGCCCCUCUGGCUCAUACAUUCCCCCUCCCUCUAUUCUACAGAUUUUUCUGAGCUCUACCUAAUUGUAGAAAAAGUAACUUUUAUGAACCCGAUAUAGCUGUCAUUGAGGAGGCUUACUACAGAAUAAGCUCACCGUUCCUAAGUUUUUCUGAACCCUGGCUGGUGGGUUCAACUCAGCUCUUCUGGCUCAAACUCCUCUCCAAGUUGACUGAUACAAUCUAGCUUCUUAGCUUCUCACUAGCUCUGCUUGGCCUCAUGCUAACUUGGACUAUAUUCUUCUGGCUCCUUCUUAUUUUAUGGCUUGAACUUCCUCUCUGAACUGCACUGCAUGAACGUCACAAACUGAACAGAACUCAGGAAUGAACUCAACUGAACUCAACAACACUACAUGAACUGCAUUUACUGAACUCUCUCUCUCUCUCUCUCUCUCUCUCUCUCUCUCUCUCUCUCUCUCUCUCUCUCUCUCUCUCUCUCUCUCUCUCCAUCCCACACUGCUCUUAUAACUGAAAGAAGCCACUUAUGAAGGAAGUAACAUUUUGGAUCAUGUCCUGGGUUGGAGAAGUCAAUGCUGGAUGCUUGUUACUAUGGCUACAGGAACAUGAUACUGCUUAGCUCUCACCUGAUCAGGAAACAGAGAAGAUGGGCCAACACUUGGGCCUAGCCAAAAUCUUUAAAGCAAUCUAUCUCCAUGGUAAGACCCCAGGUCUUAAAAUUUCUACAGCCUCCCAAAACAGCACCACUAUCUGCAACCCAUGUAUUCAAACACAUGAAUCAAUAGGGAAAACUCCACAUCCCACCCAUAGCAGACACCUGCCAUGUUUGAAGCUUUAAGAAGACCUUCAGCAGGAAUCCUUUCUUGACCUCAUGCUUCCUAGCCUCCAGAACUACGCAAUGAAUCUAUUUCUGAAAACUUCAAAUUCCCCAGUGCAUGGAAUUUUAUUAUAGCAGCAAUUAAUGAACUAAGUUAUACAUAAACUGCCUAUAAGAAUGCCCCCAAAGACCAAUUAACAUCAAAGAGAAUCUACUGAAAGAAGCUAGGAAAAUGGUGUCUCACUAUGUAGAUAAUAUAAACAAAGAUAUUUUAGA
rnacentral:lncRNA from 1 species